rnacentral:rRNA from 1 species
UACGUAGGGGGCAAGCGUUGUCCGGAUUUAUUGGGCGUAAAGAGCGUGUAGGCGGUCUGGUAGGUCCGUUGUGAAAACUCGAGGCUCAACCUCGAGACGCCGAUGGAAACCCUCAGACUAGAGUCCGGAAGAGGAGAGUGGAAUCCUGGUGUAGCGGUGAAAUGCGCAGACUAUCAGGAAGAACACCCGUGGCUAAGGCGGCUCUCUAGUACGGUACUGACGCUGAGACGCGAAAGCGUGGGGAGCGAACAGG